UACAGAGGGGGCAAGCGUUGUUCGGAAUUACUGGGCGUAAAGAGCGUGUAGGCGGCUCGGCGCGUCGGGUGUGAAAGCCCUGGGCUUAACCUAGGAAGUGCACUCGAAACUGCCAAGCUUGAGUUCUGGAGAGGAAGGCGGAAUUCUCGGUGUAGAGGUGAAAUUCGUAGAUAUCGAGAGGAACACCGGUGGCGAAGGCGGCCUUCUGGACAGCAACUGACGCUGAGACGCGAAAGCGCGGGGAGCGAACGGG
rnacentral:rRNA from 1 species